rnacentral:rRNA from 1 species
GGUAGUGGACAAGAAAUAACAAUACGGGGCUUAAUGUCUUGUAAUUGGAAUGAUGGGAAUUUAAACCUCUUCCAGAGUAUCAAUUGGAGGGCAAGUCUGGUGCCAGCAGCCGCGGUAAUUCCAGCUCCAAUAGCGUAUAUUAAAAUUGUUGCAGUUAAAAAGCUCGUAGUUGAAUUUCUGCUGCAUUGCUUUUGCUCCUUUACGAGUCUUUGCAUUGUGGCUUAUUUCGGACUUUGUUUUACAAUGUCCGGAUGUUUACUUUGAGAAAAUUAGAGUGCUCAAAGCAGGCUUUCGCCUUGAAUAGUUUAGCAUGGAAUAAUAAAGUAGGACUUUGGUUCUAUUUUGUUGGUUUUAGGUACCAAAGUAAUGGUUAAUAGGAACAGUUGGGGGCAUUCGUAUUUAACUGUCAGAGGUGAAAUUCUUAGAUUUGUUAAAGACGAACUACUGCGAAAGCAUUUGCCAAGGAUGUUUUCAUUAAUCAAGAACGAAAGUUAGGGGAUCGAA